AACCGGAGGAAGGUGGGGAUGACGUCAAAUCCUCAUGCCCCUUAUGAUUUGGGCUAGCACACUUGCUACAAUGGACAAUACAAUGGGCAGCUAACCCACCCGGUCAUGCAAAUCCCAUAAAGUUGUUCUCAGUUCGGAUUGUAGUCUGCAACUCUACUACAUGAUGCUGGAAUCGCUAAUAAUCGUUCAUCAGAGUGCUACGGAGAAUACUUUCGGGGGUCUUGUACACCCCCCCCGUCACACCAAGAGUUUUUGUAACACCCGAAGGCGGGGGAAUAACUUUUUGUGGAUCUCCCCCUAAAAGGGGAGAAAAAUGAUUGGGGAGAACUCAUAACGGGGUAGCCAUAUCAGAGGGUGGUGUUGGAUCAAC
rnacentral:rRNA from 1 species